CUAUAAUGCAGUCGAACGCUUUGUGGUUCAACUGAUUUGAAGAGCUUGCUCAGAUAUGACGAUGGACAUUGCAAAGAGUGGCGAACGGGUGAGUAACACGUGGGAAACCUACCUCUUAGCAGGGGAUAACAUUUGGAAACAGAUGCUAAUACCGUAUAACAAUGACAACCGCAUGGUUGUUAUUUAAAAGAUGGUUCUGCUAUCACUAAGAGAUGGUCCCGCGGUGCAUUAGCUAGUUGGUAAGGUAAUGGCUUACCAAGGCGAUGAUGCAUAGCCGAGUUGAGAGACUGAUCGGCCACAAUGGGACUGAGACACGGCCCAUACUCCUACGGGAGGCAGCAGUAGGGAAUCUUCCACAAUGGGCGAAAGCCUGAUGGAGCAACGCCGCGUGUGUGAUGAAGGGUUUCGGCUCGUAAAACACUGUUGUAAGAGAAGAAUGACAUUGAGAGUAACUGUUCAAUGUGUGACGGUAUCUUACCAGAAAGGAACGGCUAAAUACGUGCCAGCAGCCGCGGUAAUACGUAUGUUCCAAGCGUUAUCCGGAUUUAUUGGGCGUAAAGCGAGCGCAGACGGUUAUUUAAGUCUGAAGUGAAAGCCCUCAGCUCAACUGAGGAAUUGCUUUGGAAACUGGAUGACUUGAGUGCAGUAGAGGAAAGUGGAACUCCAUGUGUAGCGGUGAAAUGCGUAGAUAUAUGGAAGAACACCAGUGGCGAAGGCGGCUUUCUGGACUGUAACUGACGUUGAGGCUCGAAAGUGUGGGUAGCAAACAGGAUUAGAUACCCUGGUAGUCCACACCGUAAACGAUGAGUGCUAGGUGUUUGAGGGUUUCCGCCCUUAAGUGCCGCAGCUAACGCAUUAAGCACUCCGCCUGGGGAGUACGACCGCAAGGUUGAAACUCAAAGGAUUUGACGGGG
rnacentral:rRNA from 1 species